AACGCUGGCGGCGUGCUUAACACAUGCAAGUCGAACGGAAAGGCCCUGCCUUUGUGGGGUGCUCGAGUGGCGAACGGGUGAGUAACACGUGAGUAACCUGCCCUUGACUUUGGGAUAACUUCAGGAAACUGGGGCUAAUACCGGAUAGGAGCUCCUGCUGCAUGGUGGGGGUUGGAAAGUUUCGGCGGUUGGGGAUGGACUCGCGGCUUAUCAGCUUGUUGGUGGGGUAGUGGCUUACCAAGGCUUUGACGGGUAGCCGGCCUGAGAGGGUGACCGGCCACAUUGGGACUGAGAUACGGCCCAGACUCCUACGGGAGGCAGCAGUGGGGAAUAUUGCACAAUGGGCGGAAGCCUGAUGCAGCAACGCCGCGUGCGGGAUGACGGCCUUCGGGUUGUAAACCGCUUUCGCCUGUGACGAAGCGUGAGUGACGGUAAUGGGUAAAGAAGCACCGGCUAACUACGUG
rnacentral:rRNA from 1 species